GAUGAACGCUGGCGGCGUGCCUAACACAUGCAAGUCGAACGAAGCACUUUAGCUUGAUUCUUCGGAUGAAGGCUAUUGUGACUGAGUGGCGGACGGGUGAGUAACGCGUGGGUAACCUGCCUCAUACAGGGGGAUAACAGUUAGAAAUGACUGCUAAUACCGCAUAAGACCACGGAGUCGCAUGACUCAGUGGGAAAAACUCUGGUGGUAUGAGAUGGACCCGCGUCUGAUUAGGUAGUUGGUGGGGUAACGGCCUACCAAGCCGACGAUCAGUAGCCGACCUGGGAGGGUGACCGGCCACAUUGGGACUGAGACACGGCCCAAACUCCUACGGGAGGCAGCAGUGGGGAAUAUUGCACAAUGGGGGAAACCCUGAUGCAGCGACGCCGCGUGAGCGAAGAAGUAUUUCAGUAUGUAAAGCUCUAUCAGCAGGGAAGAAAAUGACGGUACCUGACUAAGAAGCACCGGCUAAAUACGUGCCAGCCGCCGCCGUAA
rnacentral:rRNA from 1 species